AAAAACGUUAAUUUUACUCUGCUUCGCUCUGUCCAGUUUCAGAUUGAACCUCUCCUACUCCGAUUCCACUCGAAGCCAUUCGUGAGCUCGCCGCCGAUUGCCGUUUGUUUUACGGAGCAUUGGGCAACGUUUUCAUUCACGGGUCAAAUCGAUAAUCCAUUAAUAUCACCAACAGCGCCCAGAUUUCUGUAUCCAUUUCUAGGGUUUCCUUUUCUAGAAUCGUAGCUCUUGGGAAUGGAUUCAGGUUUAGGAGUCGGAUCCCUACUCACUCUUUGAUUUUCGGAUCUGAUUUCCGGCCCAAUUCGGUUAUGAGCAGUCGACAUGUCUGAGAAGCAGAACUCGGAGCAGGUAAUGGAAGGUUCUGGGGACUUUGGCCCAGCUACUGAAGCAUUGGAUUCGGAGCAUAAUCAUGUCAUGGUACCCGAAGAGUCGAAUGGGUAUGCACCAGAAACCGAGGUUGCGGUCGAGCGCGGGGAUUCAAACGACCUCAUCGAACCGGUUAACCAGGAAUCGGUGUCGUCACCAAUAAAUCGUGCCGAGCACGAUUUUGGGGAAGCCGGGAAAGAGGAUAUGUUCGUUGACUGCCCGGACGAGUUAUCUACUGCAAAUGCUGAUAACAGGGAAGCAGUGGUGGCGGUAGGGACCGAAGAGAGUUCGGAGAUGAUGAAUGGCGUGCACGAGAGUGGAGUUCAAGAAAUGGAAAACGGGACGCAGGUUGGUUAUGUGGUGGACAGUGAGCUGGAAAACCUGCGGGAAACGCUGGAUAAGAUGCUUCACGAGAGAGAAAGAAUUGCUCGGGAAUACGAGAUGCAGAACGAGAGAGAGGCUUUUACUGAAGACGUUGCUGGGCUUCAUCAUCAGCUUAAGGCACUGACUAACAAGCAGCUGUUGUUGCCGGGUAUGGAAAACCAUUUGGUGGGUGACAACCCUUUGCUUGAAAUGGUGAAGGACUGCUCACAGUUUGUUAAAGCCGCCUCAGAAGAACGGUUGCAAACUGAGGCGACAGUGAGGGAGCUUCAUGCCGUUCUUUUUUCGAAGGACCAAGAGAUUGAAUAUCUCAAUGCCAGGGUUACUGAGUAUGGGACUAUCAGUGUCACUGCCCGUGACGAGUUGCUUGAGCUGAAAAGAAAGGAAGAAGAUUUGUUUGAGAAAGUACGCCGUCUAGAAGAUGAAAAUGGGAAAUUGGUGGCUCAACUUGAUAAAAAUAAAGUGGUUUUUGAGUCGGUGAAUGAGGAACUUGCAAAGACAAAAAUGGAACUUGAGCAGGAAAAGUUUAGGUGUGCUAAUACGAAAGAGAAGCUUUCUAUGGCUGUGACGAAAGGAAAGGCGUUGGUACAACAGAGGGACUCGUUGAAGCAGUCGUUGGCUGAGAGAACAAGUGAGCUCGAUAAAUGUUUAACUGAAUUGCAAGAGAAGUCAAGUUCAUUGGUGGCUGCGGAACUAAGUAAAGGGGAGUUGGUCAGAAGUGAAAAUCUGGUCUCAUCUCUGCAGGAAUCACUUUUGCAAAGGAAUUCCAUCCUUGACAAACUUGAAGAAAUUUUGUCCCAGGCUGCUGUACCUGAGGAACUUCAAUCGAUGGAUAUUAUAGAGAGAUUUAGAUGGCUUGUGGACGAGAAAAAAUCACUGGAAGAUGUUUCAAUGGAAUUCCAAAUCGUGAAAGACGCAUUUUCCUUUACUGAUCUACCAGAAACCAUUUCAUCGUCUGACUGGGAAGCUCGAGGGAGUUACCUUAGGGAGUCAUUUUAUCAGGUGAAGGAUGAAGUAAAUACUUUGCAUGAUGAAAUUGUUAAAACAAGGGAAGAUGCACACAGUGAGAUUGCCCGCUUAAGCGCAUCACUUUUGGCAGCAUUACAGGAAAAGGAUUAUCUUCAAACGGAGGUAGCUGACCUGAUGUGCAAAUAUGAAUGGAUUGACGAAAAAGUUUCAUUGGAGAAGAACCGUAUAAGCGCUUCACUUUCUGAAGCAUUAGAGGAAAAGGAGUUUCUUCGAAUGGAGUUGGCUAAUCUGAUGAGCAAAUAUGAAGAGAUUGUUGAAAAGGAGCAUAAAGUCUCACUGGACAAAGAUUGGAUAAUUAAAAUGUUACUUGAGUUUUCUGGAAGCGAAAUGGAAAAUGAAGAAGGGGUGUAUCAGUCUGACAAUUCUGCGAUCAUUCACAAAUGCUUUGAGAAGAUAAAAGAACAGAGCAGUGUGGCUUUGGAUUCUUCCCAUGUUAACACAGAAUUAUUUCAAAGAGUUCAAAGUCUCUUAUAUGUAAGGGAUCAAGAGUUGAUGCUGUGUGAGAAGUUACUUGAAGAGGAUAUGGUGGUGAGAUUAGAGGUUAAUAAACUGUCGAAUGAGAUAAAGUUAGUAUCUGAAGAACUUGUAGCAUUGAAAGAGGAAAAGGGCUCUCUCCAGAAGGUUAUUGAAAGAUCGGAAGAGAAGUCUGCUUUGCUGAGGGAGAGGUUAUCCAUGGCCGUUAAGAAAGGCAAGGGACUGGUUCAAGAUCGGGAAAAUAUGAAAAAUCUUCUGGAUGAAAAAGACUCAGAAAUCGAGAAGUUGAAGCUUGACUUACAGCAGCAAGAAUCUGCAGUUGCUGACUGCAGAGACCAGAUCAAUAGAUUAUCUUCUGAUGUAGAGUGCAUCCCAAAGUUGGAGGCUGAUCUUGUUGCUAUGAAAGAUCAACGAGAUCAAUUCGAGCAAUUCUUACUGGAGAGCAAUAAACUGUUACAAAGAGUAGUUGAAUGUAUUGAUGGAAUUGUUCUUCCCAUUGAAUCAGUUUUUGAGGGCCCUGUAGAAAAGGUUAUCUGGCUUGCUGGGUACAUUAAUGAAUGUCUGGAUGCUAAGACACAUGCAGAUCAAGAGUUGAGUAAGGCAAAAGAGGAUGCCAGUACUCUGGCUAGUAAGUUAGAGGAAGCCAAAGCAACUGUGAAAUCACUGGAAGAUGCAUUGUCAGUUGCAGAGAACAGUGUUUCUCGACUCUCUGAAGAAAAGAGGGAAAUGGAAGUUGGCAGGACAAAUGUUGAACAAGAAUUGGAGAAAGCAAUGGAAGAAGCGUUUUCUCAGACUAGCAAGUUUGCUGAGGCUUCUGCAACUAUGAAGUCACUUGAAGAGGCAUUAUCACUGGCAGAAAAUAAUAUUUCCGUGCUCUUCAAAGAGAAGGAAGAGGCUCAAGUAAGUAGAGCUGCUACAGAGAUGGAGCUAGAUAAAGAGAAAGAGGAAGUUGCUAUUCAGACCACUAAACUAACAGAGGCCUACAAAACUAUAAAGGCACUUGAACAUUCACUAUCUCAGGUAGAGAGCAAUGUUGUUCUGCUGACUGAGCAAAAUAACGAUGUACAAGCGGGUAGAACCAAUUUAGAGAAUGAGGUAAAGAAGCUGCAAGAGGAAGUUGGGUCCUUGGCUAAUAAGCUAGAAGAUGCAUAUGCAAGUAUAAAAUCACAGGAAGAUGCGCUUUGGAGGGCAGAGAAUGAUAUUUCAGUACUUAAAGGCGAAAAGAAAGAUGCUGAAGAGGAGGCGUUGUUGCUUAAUUCCAAGUUAAGUGCAACCCUGGAAGAGUUGGCUGGGACUAGUGGCAGCUUAGAGACCAGAUCUGUAGAACUUGCUGGACACUUUAAUGAUCUUCAAGUGAUUAUGAAAGAUGAGACUCUUUCAUCCAAAGUAAAAGAAUGCUUUGAGAAGAAAUUUGAGAGCUUGAAAUCUAUGGAUCUUAUUAUUAAUAACAUAAGGGACCGUUUUGUUUCUAUGGACUUAGAAGAGAUGCAAAGUCACCAGCUUAUGGAGGAUAAUUCACGUUUUACAAAACCUUUCUCGGAUAGCAUUGACAAUAUUGCUGGUGUUGAAAUCCAUUACAGCCUGGCGGGUGCAGAUAGUGACAAUAUUUCUUCAUAUUUUAGAAAUACCGUGGAAGGGUUCCAGUGGAGAAACAAAAUUCUUGCAGAUAAGUUUGAAGGUUUCUCCUCAGUUGUAGAUGAGUUUAUUGCAUCUUUGUUGAGAAAAUUGCAGACAGCAGAGAAUGGAGUAGUAGUUCUAUUUGAGCACAUUGAAUCUUUGAGACAGAAAACAAAGGAUCUGGAAAUGUAUAAACAAGAACAGGAGACUAGUGUAGGCAUACUGGACAACGAUGUUUCCACUUUACUGUCUGUUUGUACUACCGUUACCAGGGAACUGCAAUUUGAGGUGAAGAACAAUCUAUUGGAUCUCAGCCAUGUCCCUGAGCUUGAGACAUUCAACCAUGGUUUGUCCCUGGAAAUGAUAGGAAGCGAGGGAGAUGCCACAGUAGAGCAACUGGAAAGGCUUGAUGGCAGCAAAUAUGUUGAAGCCGCUGACAAGUUGUUACUUGCUGCUAGAAAAGUACAAGCCUUGAUUAAACAGUUUGAGAGCACAAGUAACAUGGCGGCAGCUACAAUUGAAGAAUUGCAGACUAAAUUGAAAGAAAGCAGAAAAGGUUUUGAAAAAGCUAUAGAAGAAAGGGAUCUAAACCAAAAUAGGGUUGCCGAGUUGGUGACUGAUGUGGAUGUAUUGCAAAAUUCAUGCAGUGAGCUGAGGCUUAAUCUAGAGGAUUAUCAAACAAAAGAGGAAAAGAUAAAGGAAAGAGAGGCAGAAGUUUCCUCUUUAUACAAUUCUAUAUUAAUUAAAGAACAAGAGGCAGAAGACUCUCCCCUGUCAGCAUCCCAAGUGAAAAUACUGUUUGAAAAAAUUAGAGACAUAGAAAUCCCUAUCGCAGUCUCAGAAGUAGGAGACCUAGACCCGCAUAACUCGGCUCAUAUAAAGAAGCUCUUUCACAUCAUUGAUAGUGUUACUGAGUUGCAGCAAGAAGUAAAAUUUUUAUCUCAUGACAGAACAAGGCUACAGUCUAACCUUACAACACAGGUUCUUGAAAUUGAGCAUCUGAAGGGGGAAGUUGAAAAGCACAUUAGAGAUGGACAAGACUUGGAAAAAAUGAAUAACGAAUUGUCUGAGCUCAUAUUUGGAUUGGAGAAAAUUAUAGGUAUGUUCAAAGUUAGUGAUUUAGGCGAGCAAAAAUAUCCUGGAGCGAAAGGACUUCUGUCUUUGUUAGAAAAGCAGGUCGUGGCCAUGCUUUUAGAAUCUGAAAAUUCAAAAUCAAAAGCUCAGGAGCUUGCCACAGAGUUACUGGCGAGCCAAAAUGUCGUAGAGGAAUUGUCAAUCAAGGUUAAAUUACUUGAAGAUUCAGUUCAAGGUGGGAAUGCCGACCCCAACAUUGUUCAGGAAAGGAGCAUCUUUGAAGCACUACCGUUGCCUACAGGGUCAGAGAUAUCUGAAAUUGAAGACGUGGUAAAUAUCUUUAUAUGAUUUUCCACUAUUACUUUCUUCUAUCCGUACUUUUUUGUGAUCCGGGGAAAAGAAAAUCAUGUACACCACAAAACUGCACGGAUAAAAAUUAAGCAUACUUUUUCUAUAAUUAAAAAAAUUAAGCAGAACUUUUUUUAAUAAGUUAAAUCAAGCGUAAUUUUGUUGGUUGCAGAAGCGUCUAUCAACCUGCAUCUCCUAGACAAAUUAGAUCAAUCAAUCUAUGUUAUACAAUUUUUGUACUCCCUAUAUUUUAUCUUUUCUGCUUAUCAAUGUGACCACGGGCUGCAUUUGAAUGCUGAGGUGAUCUCAGAUAAUUUGAGUUGAUCUAUGAAUAGUAGUGUUUUGUAGGUUCUUUUGAGAAGUGUUUAAAUGUAAGUAUGUUGAGUUAUGUGUUUGAAUAUAUGAAGUAAGUUGAGAUGAAUUUAAUUUUUAUGGGAAGUUGAAAAAGUAGUGGGUUCCAUCAUUAAUUGGUUUGAGAUGGGUUGAGGUGAUCUUGACAAUGUCAACUCUCCAUUAAAAUGUCAAACUCACUCCAAACUGAAUUUUAAAAUUCAAGAUUAAUAUUAAAAGAAAAAGAAAAAAACACGUUGUUCAGGCAGAGAAGUAAUGCUAUGUCCAUUUUGUUGAUCUGCUUACAGCAACGUUGUUUCACUUAUCAUCUUAUUCAUGUGAUAUUGGUGACUUAAAAGAGGAAAAAAAUAGAU